GAUGAAGAACGUAGCGAAAUGCGAUACUUGGUGUGAAUUGCAGAAUCCCGUGAACCAUCGAGUCUUUGAACGCAAGUUGUGCCCGAAGCCACUAGGCCGAGGGCACGCCUGCCUGGGUGUCACACGUCGUUGCCCCCCCCCCAUCUACUCCUUCGGGAUUGCGGGGGGCGGAUGAUGGCCUCCCGUGCGCCUAGCCGCGCGGUUGGCAUAAAUACCAAGUCCUCGGCGACGCACGCCACGACAAUCGGGGGUUGCGAAACCUCGGUUGCCCGUCGUGUGCGUUCGUCGCGCAUCGAGGGCUCGAAAAAAUGCUCGGCUCCGGCUCGGCUUUCAACGCGACCCCAGGUCAGGCGGGGUUACCCGCUGAAUUUAAGCAUAUCAAUAAGCGGAGGA
rnacentral:misc_RNA from 1 species